rnacentral:lncRNA from 1 species
UUCCGUCACAAUUUAGGGUCUAGGUUUCCAUAAAAUCGUGUGCUAUAGCUCACGGGUGGCAAAAAAAUGCCAUAACGGCCUCCCCGGUCUAAAACGAAGGUGGCAGGUCGGAUACAUAAAAUUGGCUGUUUGGCCACGGAAAUGUGUGAUAUAGCUCGCGGGAGGCCAAGAACCGCUUUAAGGUGCUCCGGGGAGAAAAACACGUGUGGAGGAACACGGGCAUAAAAAUGGUCGCUCGGCCAUGAAAACGUGUGCUAUAGCUCACGGGAGGCCAAAACAACCUUACCAGUCUCUAUGGUCAAAUAAUGGGUGGCGGUCGGGAGGCACGAAAUCGCUGUUCGACGACAAAAACAUGUGUCACGGGAGGCCAAAAUAGCCUUACGGGCCGCCGGGGACUAAAACGUGUACUAUGGUUCGGACACUAAAAUUCUACCAUGCCUGCAAGCUUACUAUGGUUUGGAGACUCAAACUUCAUUUUACUAUGGUUUGGACACUAAAACCUUUUAGUGUCGGUGUUUAAGGUUAGGGUUUAGGGAUUGGAUCUUGGGUCUAGGUUACCAUAAAAACAUGUGCUAUAGCUCACUUGUGGCAAAAAAAUGUCGUAACGGCCUCUCCGAUCUAAAAUGUAGGUGGCAGAUCGGAUGAGGCCAUAAUCAGCCUUAGCAGUCUCAGUGGCCAAAUCAUGGGUGGCGGACGGGAGGCAUGAAAUCGUCGUUUGACGAUGAAAACAUGUGUCACUGCACGGGAGGCCAAAAAUAGCCUUACCGGCCUCCGGGGACCAAAACGUGUACUAUGGUUUGGACACUAAAAUUCUACUAUGUCAGCAAAGUUGAUAAGGUUGGGAGACUCAAUUUCAUUUUACCAUGGUUUCAACACUAAAAUCCUUUAGUGUUGAUGUUUAGGUUUAGGGAUAGGAUUUAGGGUCUAGGUUUCCAUAAAAUCGUGUGCUAUAGCUCAUGGGUGGCAAAAAAAUGCCAUAACGGCCUCCCCGGUCUAAAACGAAGGUGGCAGGUCGGAUACAUAAAAUUGGCUGUUUGGCCACGGAAAUGUGUGAUAUAGCUCGCGGGAGGCCAAGAACCGCUUUAAGGUGCUCCGGGGAGAAAAACACGUGUGGAGGAACACGAGCAUAAAAAUGGUCGCUCGGCCAUGAAAACGUGUGCUAUAGCUCACGGGAGGCCAAAACAACCUUACCAGUCUCUAUGGUCAAAUAAUGGGUGGCGGUCGGGAGGCACGAAAUCGCUGUUCGACGACAAAGACAUGUGUCACGGGAGGCCAAAAUAGCCUUACGGGCCGCCGGGGACUAAAACGUGUACUAUGGUUCGGACACUAAAAUUCUACCAUGCCUGCAAGCUUACUAUGGUUUGGAGACUCAAACUUCAUUUUACUAUGGUUUGGACACUAAAACCUUUUAGUGUCGGUGUUUAAGGUUAGGGUUUAGGGAUUGGAUCUUGGGUCUAGGUUACCAUAAAAACAUGUGCUAUAGCUCACUUGUGGCAAAAAAUGUCGUAACGACCUCUCCGAUCUAAAAUGUAGGUGGCAGGUCGGAUGAGGCCAUAAUCAGCCUUAGCAGUCUCAGUGGCCAAAUCAUGGGUGGCGGACGGGAGGCAUGAAAUCGUCGUUUGACGAUGAAAACAUGUGUCACGGGAGGCCAAAAAUAGCCUUACCGGCCUCCGGGGACCAAAACGUGUACUAUGGUUUGGACACUAAAAUUCUACUAUGUCAGCAAAGUUGAUAAGGUUGGGAGACUCAAAUUUCAUUUUACCAUGGUUUCAACACUAAAAUCCUUUAGUGUCGAUGUUUAGGUUUAGGGAUAGGAUUUAGGGUCUAGGUUUCCAUAAAAUCGUGUGCUAUAGCUCACGGGUGGCAAAAAAAUGCCAUAACGGCCUCCCCGGUCUAAAACGAAGGUGGCAGGUCGGAUACAUAAAAUUGGCUGUUUGGCCACGGAAAUGUGUGAUAUAGCUCGCGGGAGGCCAAGAACCGCUUUAAGGUGCUCCGGGGAGAAAAACACGUGUGGAGGAACACGGGCAUAAAAAUGGUCGCUCGGCCAUGAAAACGUGUGCUAUAGCUCACGGGAGGCCAAAACAACCUUACCAGUCUCUAUGGUCAAAUAAUGGGUGGCGGUCGGGAGGCACGAAAUCGCUGUUCGACGACAAAAACAUGUGUCACGGGAGGCCAAAAUAGCCUUACGGGCCGCCGGGGACUAAAACGUGUACUAUGGUUCGGACACUAAAAUUCUACCAUGCCUGCAAGCUUACUAUGGUUUGGAGACUCAAACUUCAUUUUACUAUGGUUUGGACACUAAAACCUUUUAGUGUCGGUGUUUAAGGUUAGGGUUUAGGGAUUGGAUCUUGGGUCUAGGUUACCAUAAAAACAUGUGCUAUAGCUCACUUGUGGCAAAAAAUGUCGUAACGGCCUCUCCGAUCUAAAAUGUAGGUGGCAGGUCGGAUGAGGCCAUAAUCAGCCUUAGCAGUCUCAGUGACCAAAUCAUGGGUGGUGGACGGGAGGCAUGAAAUCGUCGUUUGACGAUGAAAACAUGUGUCACGGGAGGCCAAAAAUAGCCUUACCGGCCUCCGGGGACCAAAACGUGUGCUAUGGUUUGGACACUAAAAUUCUACUAUGUCAGCAAAGUUGAUAAGGUUGGGAGACUCAAAUUUCAUUUUACCAUGGUUUCAACACUAAAAUCCUUUAGUGUUGAUGUUUAGGUUUAGGGAUAGGAUUUAGGGUCUAGGUUUCCAUAAAAUCGUGUGCUAUAGCUCACGGGUGGCAAAAAAAUGCCAUAACGGCCUCCCCGGUCCAAAACGAAGGUGGCAGGUCGGAUACAUAAAAUUGGCUGUUUGGCCACGGAAAUGUGUGAUAUAGCUCGCGGGAGGCCAAGAACCGCUUUAAGGUGCUCCGGGGAGAAAAACACGUGUGGAGGAACACGGGCAUAAAAAUGGUCGCUCGGCCAUGAAAACGUGUGCUAUAGCUCACGGGAGGCCAAAACAACCUUACCAGUCUCUAUGGUCAAAUAAUGGGUGGCAGUCGGGAGGCACGAAAUCGCUGUUCGACGACAAAGACAUGUGUCACGGGAGGCCAAAAUAGCCUUACGGGCCGCCGGGGACUAAAACGUGUACUAUGGUUCGGACACUAAAAUUCUACCAUGCCUGCAAGCUUACUAUGGUUUGGAGACUCAAACUUCAUUUAACUAUGGUUUGGACACUAAAACCUUUUAGUGUCGGUGUUUAAGGUUAGGGUUUAGGGAUUGGAUCUUGGGUCUAGGUUACCAUAAAAACAUGUGCUAUAGCUCACUUGUGGCAAAAAAUGUCGUAACGGCCUCUCCGAUCUAAAAUGUAGGUGGCAGGUCGGAUGAGGCCAUAAUCAGCCUUAGCAGUCUCAGUGGCCAAAUCAUGGGUGGCGGACGGGAGGCAAGAAAUCGUCGUUUGACGAUGAAAACAUGUGUCACGGGAGGCCAAAAAUAGCCUUACCGGCCUCUGGGGACCAAAACGUGUACUAUGGUUUGGACACUAAAAUUCUACUAUGUCAGCAAAGUUGAUAAGGUUGGGAGACUCAAAUUUCAUUUUACCAUGGUUUCAACACUAAAAUCCUUUAGUGUUGAUGUUUAGGUUUAGGGAUAGGAUUUAGGGUCUAGGUUUCCAUAAAAUCGUGUGCUAUAGCUCACGGGUGGCAAAAAAAUGCCAUAACGGCCUCCCCGGUCUAAAACGAAGGUGGCAGGUCGGAUACAUAAAAUUGGCUGUUUGGCCACGGAAAUGUGUGAUAUAGCUCGCGGGAGACCAAGAACCGCUUUAAGGUGCUCCGGGGAGAAAAACACGUGUGGAGGAACACGGGCAUAAAAAUGGUCGCUCGGCCAUGAAAACGUGUGCUAUAGCUCACGGGAGGCCAAAACAACCUUACCAGUCUCUAUGGUCAAAUAAUGGGUGGCGGUCGGGAGGCACGAAAUCGCUGUUCGAUGACAAAAACAUGUGUCACGGGAGGCCAAAAUAGCCUUACGGGCCGCCGGGAACUAAAACGUGUACUAUGGUUCGGACACUAAAAUUCUACCAUGCCUGCAAGCUUACUAUGGUUUGGAGACUCAAACUUCAUUUUACUAUGGUUUGGACACUAAAACCUUUUAGUGUCGGUGUUUAAGGUUAGGGUUUAGGGAUUGGAUCUUGGGUCUAGGUUACAAUAAAAACAUGUGCUAUAGCUCACUUGUGGCAAAAAAUGUCGUAACGGCCUCUCCGAUCUAAAAUGUAGGUGGCAGGUCGGAUGAGGCCAUAAUCAGCCUUAGCAGUCUCAGUGGCCAAAUCAUGGGUGGUGGACGGGAGGCAUGAAAUCGUCGUUUGACGAUGAAAACAUGUGUCACGGGAGGCCAAAAAUAGCCUUACCGGCCUCCGGGGACCAAAACGUGUGCUAUGGUUUGGACACUAAAAUUCUACUAUGUCAGCAAAGUUGAUAAGGUUGGGAGACUCAAAUUUCAUUUUACCAUGGUUUCAACACUAAAAUCCUUUAGUGUCGAUGUUUAGGUUUAGGGAUAGGAUUUAGGGUCUAGGUUUCCAUAAAAUCGUGUGCUAUAGCUCACGGGUGGCAAAAAAAUGCCAUAACGGCCUCCCCGGUCUAAAACGAAGGAGGCAGGUCGGAUACAUAAAAUUGGCUGUUUGGCCACGGAAAUGUUUGAUCUAGCUCGCGGGAGGCCAAGAACCGCUUUAAGGUGCUCCGAGGACAAAAACACGUGUGGAGGAACGCGGACAUAAAAAUGGUCGCUCGGCCAUGAAAACGUGUGCUAUAGCUCACGGGAGGCCAAAACAGCCUUACCAGUCUCUAUGGUCAAAUCAUGGGUGGCGGUCGGGAGGCACGAAAUCGCUGUUCGACGACAAAAACUUGUGUCACGGGAGGCCAAAAUAGCCUUACGAGCUGUCGGGGACUAAAACGUGUACUAUGGUUUGGACACUAAAAUUCUACCAUUCCUGCAUGCUUACUAUGGUUUGGAGACUCAAACUUCAUUUUACUAUGGUUUGGACACUAAAACCUUUUAGUGUCGGUGUUUAAGGUUAGGGUUUAGGGAUUGGAUUUGGGGUCUAGGUUACCAUAAAAACAUGUGCUAUAGCUCACUUGUGGCAAAAAAUGUCGUAACGGCCUCUCCGGUCUAAAACGUAGGUGGUAGGUCGGAUACAUGAAAUUGGCUCUUUGGCCACGAAAACGUGUGCUACAGCUCGUGGGAGGCCAAGGACCACUUUAAGGUGCUCUGGGAACCAAAAAACGGGUGGUGGAACACGUACUUAAAAAUGGUCGCUCGACCAUGAAAACGUGUGCCAUAACCUACGAGAGGCCAUAAACAGCCUUAGCAGUCUCAGUGGCCAAAUCAUGGGUGGCGGACGGGAGGCAUGAAAUCGUCGUUUGACGAUGAAAACAUGUGUCACGGGAGGCCAAAAAUAGCCUUACCGGCCUCCGGGGACCAAAACGUGUACUAUGGUUUGGACACUAAAAUCGUACUAUGUCAGCAAAGUUGAUAAGGUUGGGAGACUCAAAUUUCAUUUUACCAUGGUUUCAACACUAAAAUCCUUUAGUGUCGAUGUUUAGGUUUAGGGAUAGGAUUUAGGGUCUAGGUUUCCAUAAAAUCGUGUGCUAUAGCUCACGGGUGGCAAAAAAAUGCCAUAACGGCCCCGGUCUAAAACGAAGGUGGCAGGUCGGAUACAUAAAAUUGGCUGUUUGGCCACGGAAAUGUGUGAUAUAGCUCGCGGGAGGCCAAGAACCGCUUUAAGGUGCUCCGGGGAGAAAAACACGUGUGGAGGAACACGGGCAUAAAAAUGGUCGCUCGGCCAUGAAAACGUGUGCUAUAGCUCACGGGAGGCCAAAACAACCUUACCAGUCUCUAUGGUCAAAUAAUGGGUGGCGGUCGGGAGGCACGAAAUCGCUGUUCGACGACAAAAACAUGUGUCACGGGAGGCCAAAAUAGCCUUACGGGCCGCCGGGGACUAAAACGUGUACUAUGGUUCGGACACUAAAAUUCUACCAUGCCUGCAAGCUUACUAUGGUUUGGAGACUCAAACUUCAUUUUACUAUGGUUUGGACACUAAAACCUUUUAGUGUCGGUGUUUAAGGUUAGGGUUUAGGGAUUGGAUCUUGGGUCUAGGUUACCAUAAAAACAUGUGCUAUAGCUCACUUGUGGCAAAAAAUGUCGUAACGGCCUCUCCGAUCUAAAACGUAGGUGGCAGGUCGGAUACAUGAAAUUGGCUCUUUGGCCACGGAAACGUGUGCUACAGCUCGUGGGAGGCCAAGGACCACUUUAAGGUGCUCUGGGGACCAAAAAGCGGGUGGUGGAACACGUACUUAAAAUGGUCGCUCGACCAUGAAAACGUGUGCCAUAGCCUACGGGAGGCCAUAAACAGCCUUAGCAGUCUCAGUGGCCAAAUCAUGGGUGGCGGACGGGAGGUGUUGGGUCUAUGCUUCGUCGCCGAAGGUCUUAUAGAAAGAAGUGAUCCUCGGAUGAAGC